AGAGUUUGAUCAUGGCUCAGAACGAACGCUGGCGGCGCGUCUUAAACAUGCAAGUCGAACGAUCUGUAGCAAUACAGGGAGUGGCGGACGGGUGAGGAACACGUAGGAAUCUACCUUGAAGAGCGGGACAACUUUGGGAAACCGGGGCUAAUACCGCAUAGUACAGAGAUGUUAAAGGGCUAGCAAUAGUCGCUUCGAGAUGAGCCUGCGGUCUAUCAGCUUGUUGGUGAGGUAAUGGCUCACCAAGGCUACGACGGAUAGCCGGUCUGAGAGGAUGAUCGGCCACACUGGCACUGAGACACGGGCCAGACUCCUACGGGAGGCAGCAGUUAAGAAUCUUGCGCAAUGGGGGAAACCCUGACGCAGCGACGCCGCGUGAAGGAUGAAGGCUUCGGGUUGUAAACUUCGGUAGACUGGGAAGAAGAAAUACGUUCGUUGAGGGCGUAUAGUGACGGUACCAGUCUGAAGCCCCGGCUAACUACGUG
rnacentral:rRNA from 1 species